GAUGAACGCUGGCGGCGUGCCUAAUACAUGCAAGUCGAACGCAUUGUGGUUGAAAUGAUAUGAAGAACUUGUUCAGAUUUGAUUUUCAACAUUGCAAUGAGUGGCGAACGGGUGAGUAACACGUGGGAAACCUACCUCUUAGCAGGGGAUAACAUUUGGAAACAAAUGCUAAUACCGUAUAAUAAUUAAAACCGCAUGGUUUUAGUUUAAAGAUGGUCUUGCUAUCACUAAGAGAUGGUCCCGCGGUGUAUUAGUUAGUUGGUGAGGUAAUGGCUCACCAAGACAAUGAUACAUAGCCGAGUUGAGAGACUGACCGGCCACAAUGGGACUGAGACACGGUCCCAUACUCCUACGGGAGGCAGCAGUAGGGAAUCUUCCACAAUGGACGAAAGUCUGAUGGAGCAACGCGCGUGUGUGAUGAAGGUUUCGGCUCGUAAACACUGUUGUAAGAGAAGAUGACAUCGAGAGUAACUGUUC
rnacentral:rRNA from 1 species